CUAACAAGGAUUCCCCUAGUAACGGCGAGUGAAGCGGGAAGAGCUCAAAUUUGUAAUCUGGCGGUCUCAGGCCGUCCGAGUUGUAGUCUGGAGAAGCGUUUUCCGCGCCGGAUCGUGUACAAGUCCCUUGGAACAGGGCGUCAUAGAGGGUGAGAAUCCCGUCUUCGACACGAACUACCGGUGCUCUGUGAUGCGCUCUCAAAGAGUCGAGUUGUUUGGGAAUGCAGCUCAAAACGGGUGGUAAAUUCCAUCUAAAGCUAAAUAUUGGCGAAAGACCGAUAGCGAACAAGUACCGUGAGGGAAAGAUGAAAAGCACUUUGGAAAGAGAGUUAAACAGUACGUGAAAUUGUUGAAAGGGAAACGAUUGAAGUCAGUCGCGUCUUCCGGGACUCAGCCUUGCUUUUUGCCUGGCGCAUUUCCCGGGGUUGACGGGCCAGCAUCGAUUUCGGUCGACGGAAAAAGGCAGGGGGAAUGUGGCACCUUCGGGUGUGUUAUAGCCCCCUGUCGCAUGCGUCGACUGGGAUCGAGGAUCGCAGCACGCCUUUAAUGGCCGGGGUUCGCCCACGUAACGUGCUUAGGAUGCUG
rnacentral:rRNA from 1 species